CCAGAGCAAAGUUGGCCACAUUUCUUAUUUUCCCAAGUAAGUAUUGAGCACCUGCUGGAUGCCUGGCCCUUGGACUGGGGCUGCAGCUGGGCGAGAAACGUGAGGUCUCGGCAGGCCCAGACAAAGCGAGGGAAGCUGCGGCUCCGGACCAGGUCACCGAGCAGAAGGGAAGCCUGGAUCCUCUCCCCUCCCUGCGCUCUUCCUUCCCCUUCCCUCCUUCCUCCGGGCUGCAUCUCCUUGGCUCCACCCCUUCUCAUCAAUUCCUCCCACACUUCCCUGCUCUCCCUGGCUUUUCACUGGAGGGUCCCUUCUCCCAGCGAGGAGCAGAUGCCGAGCCCCAUUGUCUCUCCCCCAAUGACUGCAGCCUCCCAGGGAUAGGACCAGCCACUCCUUCCCCUCCCCCCAGCCCAAAGGCCUGGGUCUUUACUGACAGGCGCCCCAAGGCCACUGCCCCUCGCCCCACCCUACACCAGCUCACGGAGCUGUGAGCAAUGACUCCAGUCACUCAGAACAUGAUUUAUUUCUGGCAAGGAGUGAGAAAACAGAAGCCAGAGAGUUUGGUUCAGCAAGAAGGACCCGACCCCGUGAUUUCAGGCUUAGCACACUGGGCCUCUAGUGACCCCAGCAUCUUCACUACCCUUGCAGUAGGGAAUGCAAGAAGCCACAGUUGUGUCAUUACCUGCCCCUCUCCGGAACAUGAAAACCAUAUUUCCCCCCAAAAAAGACAAAGUCCUCACUGACAGUCAAACAGUCAUUCAACAACCAUUUGCUACAUGCCUGCUCUAUGCCAGUUUCCCAGCCUGGUACUAAGGACCUAACCACCAGGGAGACCAUCUCCUUGUUCUGGCUUUGCAAACUGGUAGAAGCCAGAGAGAUUUGGGCCUCAGUCAGGCAUCAUAGUGCCAACACUUGGAAAGCUGAGGCAGGAGGAUUGCCAGGAGUUUAAGGCAAGCAGGGACUACAUAAUUGAAUAUCAAUCAGGUUGGCCAGGGCCACUAUGGCAAGACCUUGUCUCAACAAAACUAAAUAGAGGGAGGCACAGUUGUACAUAGACUGUAAUCGCAGCUUCUAGACGGUAGAGACAGGAAGAACAGAAGUUCAAGGCCAGCCCCAGCUAUAUAGCCAGUUCCAGGGUGGCAGGGGCCAGAGCCAGGUGUGGUGGCACAGGCCCUUAACCCCAGCACUUGCAGGGCAGAGGCAAGCAGAUCUUUGUGAGUUAGCUAGCCUGGUCUACAUAGUUCCUGGACAGCCUGGUUUCUACAGAUCUUAUCUCAAAACAACAAAAACUUGGGAGGGAACAAUUUGCCUAUAGGGCAAGAAGGGACAUUCUUCUAGAUUCAAGGAACCGUUUUAGAAGCCAGGCCUGGAAGUACAUGCCUUCAAUCCUGGCUCUGGGGAAAUAGAGGCAGAUGGAGCUCUGUGACUUUGAGGCAUCCUAGUCUACAUAAGGAGCCCCAAGCUAGCCAAGACUUUGUGGGGAAGUCCUGUUUUUAAAAAAGGAAGGAAGAAAGAGAAAAAACUUCAGGUACUUGGAGUAAUAUAGAAUGCACACUAGGGAAUGAGGGUGGUUGUGAGCACAGUUGGGGGACGGGGUUAGUGUCAAGGAAAUAGUCAAAGUUUAUUUCUUUUUUCUUGCCAGCUUCCUGCUCUUCCAAAUGACUAACAGGAAAUCACUUAGACCCAGUAGCCUGACAUAUAGAAACGGAGGUAAUGAAGGUUGGGUGUGAUGUUAUAUGCCUUUAACCCCAGCACUCCAAGACAGAAUCAGGCAUAUCUUGGGAGUUUGUGGCCAGCCUGGUCUGCAUAGCAAGUUCAUUGGGGGUGGGGGGAGAUGAAUAAAAGCAAGUAAAUAAAAGGACUGAGGCAGAAAGAUAAAAGUUGAAGGCCAGCCUGGGCUACAUAUAGAGACCAUGUCCCAAAAUAAAAUGUAAGAAAGAGGGCUGGAGGGGUUGGGGAUUUAGCUCAGUGGUAGAGCACUUGCCUAGGAAGCGCAAGGCCCUGGGUUCGGUCCCCAGCUCCAAAAAAAAGAACCAAAAAAAAAAAAAAAAAAAAAAGAAAGAGGGUUGGGGAUACAGUGGUAGAGCAACUAACCAGCAUUCGUGAGCCACCAACAUAAAUAGCUAAGUUCAAGGCCAGCUUGGGGUACAUAGUGAGGCCCUGUUUCAAACUAUUGAGGAGAGGGGAUAAAGUGUGUGUGGGAGAGAGAUCUAGAGGUUCUAGAGUGUCUUGUGUGCAAAUGGUCAGACUUAUGUGCCAAGUUGGUCAGUGACCUCGUCUAUAAGGUAGGGAUGCAAAUCCCUGCUUCCCAGUGUGCAUGGAGGCCUAAAGGAGCCCACACCUUUUGUGCUAUUUGGUACAUAAGCACAACAGCACAUAGUAGCUUUUAUUCAUUUCUACUGUGACAUGGGGGAGUGGCAGGGAGGUGUCCUUACUGCCUAAAAAUGAGAAGAUGGGGUGAAACCAGAGUGACUCACAGGCUGCAAAGGUAAAGAACCAGCUGUGGCAGAAACAUUCCUUCAAUGGUGCCUUGUGUCCCAGUGGGUGGCUGGAAUGGGGGACACCCACAUCUGCUCCAAGGUGGCCAGGGUGUGUCAUCUCAGAAGCAUGACAGCCAGAUCACUGGAGUUCUAGCCUGCCUGGGGAACACAGGAAUCCGUGGUGGAUGAGCCCUAUGAAAUCUGCAUAGGCUCCUAAGAGCAGGGAAAGAAAUGGACUCCAAUCCACACAGGGUGGGAGGGGGCUCUUGAGUUCCCAGAGUCCAAGACUCUCUUCCAAGACUCUUGUCCUUUACCAGGGCCCUGAUUCUGGGCACACGGAAGAGGAACGUCACAGCAGCAAAAUGCUGGUGGACAGACGGUGAUCCGAGGAGACGCCAGGGUUCCACUUCCUCCAUUGUGGAUAUUACGCAUUUCUGCAGUGUAGUUUAUUUCAUUGAAGUACUGGGAUAGAAUCCAGGGCUUCCUACGUGCCGAGAAAAUAUCUCCAGACCACCUUUCUCCUCUUUCCUCAGGUCCUUCCUCCCCCCUUCUCCAGGGUCUCAGGAAGCCCAGGCUGGUCACAAAGUUGAACUCCUGAUCUUCUGACUUCCUGUCCCGAGUGCUAGGAAUACAGGUGUCUGCCAAUACACACCUGACAUUUUCUUUCCUUCUUCAUAGCACAAAUACAUUGGGAAAAAGUUGAGAAUCAAAUAGGACUCAAGUUUGAUUCCCAGCACCCACAUCUGGCAACUCACAACCACCUGCAACUCCAGCUCCCAGGGAUCAGUGUCCUCCUCUUCUGGCUUCUGAGAGCACUGACAUGUAGAUGACAUAUACAUUUAAAAAAAAAACUAUACAGGAAAACAAUUGUCAUCAAUGCAUCCCCAACUCAAAAGGCACACAUGCAUUUACCAUAUACACAUCUAAAUAGAUAAAAGUACAAGGAAGCAAAUGUGAUUUUUAGAAAUGAAUUUAACUCACUUUAACUCUAGGGUUGCCACCAUUUUGGUCCAGUAAUACGUUAUAAAUAUCUUUUCUGUCUGUAAACACCCACAGUAACAUUCACAACAGAUCGCACUGUUUCAUGGUAUCUUUGUAUACAAAUUGUUGGGAUAUAUGCAGAUUUUCAAUGUUAUAAAACUGCUAUGAGGCAGAAACAGUGUGGGUGUAAGUCUUUAAUCCCAGCACUCGGGAGACAGAGACAGGCAGCUCUCUAUGAGCUUGAGCCUGGCCUACAGAGUGAGUCCAGGACCAAGGCUAUGCAAAAGAAACCCUGUCUUUAAAAACAACAACAAAACCAAACAGCCAAAAAGAAACUGCUGAUAAACUUUUUUAUUUUGCUAUUGUUUCUGUUUUUAAAAAGCUACAAUUAGCCUUUAUUUUCGUUUUGGAAUUGAUUGAUUUAUUUUGUUGGGGUGUGUGCAUGCCACGGUCUUCUACCAUGUAGGUCCCUGGGAUGGAACUCUGGACCUCAGGCUUGGCUGCAGUCCCCUCUUAUCUGCUGAGCUAUAUCAUCAGCCCUAGUGUGUCUUUUGAAACAAGGUUUUACUAUGUGUCUUGGGCUGGCCUUGAACCCACUCUGGCCUGGAACUCUCAAGAUCCUCCUGCCUCUGCUGGAAUAAGAAGCAUUAGACAUUUUUUGUACUGUCUUUUGUGCCAGGCUUGCACUGCACUGUAUCAUAACUAAGUCAGAAUUUGCAGAUGAGGCAUCUUAUGGGGUUUUCAGUGCAUGGCCUGGUUCAUAGGAGCAGGGUCCCUCAGGAUCUUCUCUGUCUUUGUCUCUGUCUCUGUCUCUUUCUCUCAGAUGGGUUUCAUCUAAUCCAGGCUGGUCUCGUACUUGCUUUAUAGCUAAGGAUAACCUUGAAAUCUGAAUCUUUCUGCCGCUGCCUCUCGAGUCCUUCCGGGAUCCCGAGUAGCUUCGCACCACCUUUCUUACCUAUUACCUCCCUGAGAGAACCUGUCUGGGCAGAUGCCUCACCUUCUACACUGACAGUAACCAAAAUAAUUAAUGUUCAUUGCUUGGAGUUGCUGGAAAGAAUGAAAUUUAGCAACUAGAGACAGAAAACACCAGACACUGUGUCUUGUAAAUUGUAAAGCUCCUUGGUGUCAGGCCAUCCCAGUGAGGGCCAAGCUCAGGUGUUACUGUUUAGCUAAACACCCUCCCUGAUUUACUGUAAGCAGAGGAGAAUCUUCCAGAUUGACACUAGAGAGGGAUCAGUGACACAUGUAGGCCCCUUUCCAGCAUUUUGGAAGCCCCGAAGUGGUCUCCCCUAGGUAAAAUUUGAAGGUAGGUGUGUUUUAAGGUUCAUGAAUCAAAAAAAAAAAAUUUUUUUUUUUUUAAUGAAUCCUCACUUUCCUUAUGGGUCUUGUGUAAGCCAAGAAAAGAGAUGGAGUGCACCCCUCCCUCGCCCCUGAUUCCACUGACAUCCACUAGAGUGAUCCUAUGGGGAAAUUAAUUGGUGCUUAUUUAGUAAGACCCGUGUCUCUUGCCAGAUGCUCUUGACCCAGCACUGGAAAGGCGGAGGCAGAAGAAUCUCUGAGUUCAAGGCUAGCCUGGCCUACACAGUCUUUUUUUUUUUUUUUUUUUUUUCUUCCGGAGCUGGGGACCGAACCCAGGGCCUUGUGCUUGCUAGGCAAGCACUCUACCACUGAGCUAAAUCCCCAACCCCCUACACAGUCUCAAAAUAAAAAAAAAAAUAAUAAUAAAAAAAAAAAAAACCAACAACAACAAAAAAACCAAACCAAAACAACAACAAAACAAAACAAAAGAAACCAAGACCAGUGUCUUCCAUAGGACAAGCCAAUGGAGACUUUUAGAGGAUAUCAGCAGUAUCUAAUUGUAAUAUCUAAUAUUCCAUGUUUUCUUAGUUUUUGUUUUUUCUAGGCAGAUGUUUCUCUGUGUAGUCCUGGCUAUCCUGGAACUCACUCUAUAGAUCAGGCUUGAACUCCAGAGAACCACCUGCCUUAGCUACAUGGUGAGUUUGCAGCCAGCCUGUGAGUCUCUGUUUUCCUUCUCCUCUCUCCCAGAAAGAAAAAGAAAACUAACAAAGUCAGUUGUGGUGCUGUGACGCAUGUCUGUAAAUCCCAGUAUAGUGGGAGUGGGAGACUGGAGAACUAGGAGCUCAAGGUCACCCUCAGGUACAGAGUGAGUUUGAAGCUAGCUAGCUAACCUGAGCUAACUUCACACCCCACCCCACCCCCCAGAAAAAGAGGAAGAAACAUUUGCCACAGAAAAGUUUCAUAAUGGCAAUAAGCAGGCAACGGCCGGCUUCCUUAAACAAAUGAGUAAUAUGUAAAGAAGACCAUGAUUACAUUAAUUAAUGUGGGAGGGUAGGUUGAUGGGAAGAAGCUGGGUCCAUAGUUUUAUAUUACAGAUUAAGGGCAGUUUGGGCUGGAGAGACGGCUCAGUGCUAAAAUCAAUACCGAUUUUUAUUCUAGAUAGGACUUCUCUGUGUAACCUUGGCUGUCCUGGAGCUUGCUCUGAAGACUAGGCUAGCCUUGAACUCACAGAGAUCUGUCAGCCUCUGCCCCUGGAGUGCUGGAAUUAAAAGUGUGCGCCACCAUGUCCAGUUUAAAACUAUAUUUUAAAAGGGAAAGUUCAAUGGUUCUACCUCUUGGUUUUUGUUUUUUGUUUUUGUUUUUUUUUUGUAAGUCUAGUUCUAGAAUUUUUUUUAAAGAUUUAUUUAUUUUUAUUUAUGAGUACACUGCAGCUGUCUUCAGACACACCAGAAGAGGGCAUCGGAUCCCAUUACAGAUGGUUGUGAGCCACCAUGUGGUUGCUGGGAAUUGAACUCAGGACCUCUGGAAGAGCAGUCAGUGCUCCUAACCACUGAGCCAUCUCUCUAGCCCUAGUUCUAGAAUUUUUAUUUUAUUUUUUUUCAUAACAUGGGAAUUGAACCUGGAGUUCUGCACAUGCUGGGUAAGAACCUGAUCACUAUGCUAGGUCCUGAGCCCUCUCUUUGCUUUAAUUAAAAAAAUUAUGUAUAUAUGUACGUGGGAGCCUGUAUGUCUGUAUACCAUGUGUGUCCAGUGCCCAAGGAGGCCAGAAGGAGGCAUGGAGCCCUAGGCUUAGAGCUAGAAGAGGCUGUGAGCCACCUUGUGAGUGCUGGGAGUUGACCCUGGGUCCUCUGGAAGAGCAGCCAGUGGUCUUAACUGCUGAGCCAUCUCUCCAGCACUUUCUGCUUUUGAUUGUGUUUAUUUUUUAAGAUUUUAUUUUCUCUCUGUGUGUGUCUGAGUGUUUGAAGGGGCACCACGUGUGCAAAUGUUUGUGGAGACUAAAAGAGGACUUCAGAUCUCCUGGAACUGGAGUUAUAGGCUGUUGUGAGCUGCCCGACAUGGGUGCUGGGAGCCGGCCCUCUGGAGGAGUAAGCAUUUUUAACUGCUGAAUCAUCUCUUCAACCCCUUGCUUUUAAAUCUUCAGAUAUCAUGCUAAGUUACCCAGGAUGCCCUUGAAUUCCCUCUGUAUCCUAGGCUGUUCUUGUUCUGCCUCUGCUCUCUAACAGCUCGCAUUAUAGUCCCACAGUACCAGGCCCUGAAAGUUCUAGAAGUCAGAGAGAAGAAUUCAGUCUUCCUAGUAGGAAUGUUUACCGAAGUGUUUAGUAUGUUAGCAAAAAUGGAGAAUAAAAAACGAGAACUGAAGGAAGAAAGGAACCCACAAUUUGGGCAUGCCAGGCAAACGCUCUGCCAUUUAGUGAGUCAUGCCCUUAAUGGUCAAGGUUUAAAAAAUGCUUCAGAGUGGAGAACGUUCCUAACACCCCUAAGAAGAUAGUAAAUUUUACAUAAAUCAGAAUCACAUAUUUGUAAGUUUGUGUAUACAUGUAUCUUACAAAUCUUAUAUGUAUUUUUCUAUGUAAGAAAAUGUACUUUAAAAAGUUAUUUCCUGGGGCUGGGGAUUUAGCUCAGUGGUAGAGCGCUUACCUAGGAAGCACAAGGCCCUGGGUUCGGUCCCCAGCUCCGGGAAAAAAAAAAAAAAAAGAACCAAAAAAAAAAAAGUUAUUUCCUGCUGGGCAGUGGUGACACAACUCCAAGCCCAAAACUCAGGAGGCAGAGGCAAGUGGAUCUUGGAUUUCCAGGCCCCUCUGGUCCUCAGAGUGAGUUCCAGGACAGCCAGGGCUACCCAGAGAAACUCUGUCUCAAGACAACAGCAACAAAAAUAUAUUGUCUUAGUUACCUUCUUAUUGCUAUGAUAAGACAUCAUGACCAAGGCAACUUAUAAAAGUGUUUAAUCUGGGGUUUAUGCUUUGGUUUCAGAGGAUUAGAGUCUGUAGCCAUCAUGGAGGGGAGCAGGGUGGCAGGCAGGCAGGCAGGCAGGCCCUGGAACAGCGGGUGAGCGCUUACAUCACGAUCAAAUUGAGGCAGAGAGAACUAAUUGAGAAACCUCAAAGCCCAGCCCUGUGACAUUCCUCCUUCAACAAGGCCAUGCCUCCUAAUUCUUCCCAGUUUCACCAACUGGGAAGCAAGCAUCCAAAUAUAUGUGUUCAUGGGUUUAUUCUCGCUAUGUUGUUCCCAUUUUUCCGGCCCCAUGGCUCAGUGUGUGAGAGCUCUUGCUGCCAAGUCUCACUAACCGUGUUCCAUCCCAGGACCCACACGGUGGAAGGAGAGGACUAACCCGUCCUCAUAUCUAUACACACACACACAUAUAUGCAAGAUAAAUAAAUAAUAAGUAGAAUUUUAAAAAGUUGUCAGUUACUUCUAUUCAUUUUAUAAGUGUGUUUUUAAUUUAUUUAAAAAAUAUUUCAUUUGUUUGUGGUUGGUUUGGUUUUUGUUUUUUUGAGACAGGGUUUCACUGUGUAGCCCUGGCUGUCUUGGAACUCUGUAGAUCUUACUGGACUCGAACUCGUAGAUCUGCCUGCCUCUGCCUCUCAAGAGCUGGGAUUAAAGGCCCAGUUUACUUAAUUUACUUGUAAUUGUGUGUGUGUGUGUACUCUGAGUUCAGAUCUUCCAGAUCCCCGGAGAACUGAACACAAGUCCUGUAAGAACAGCAAGUGCUCUCAAUGACAGGGCUGUCUUUCCAGCCCUUUGUUUUCUGUUAUAGAGGAUUUGUCAGAUUUCUUUUUUUUUUUUUUUUUUUUUGGUUCUUUUUUUCGGAGCUGGGGACCGAACCCAGGGCCUUGCGCUUCCUAGGUAAGCGCUCUACCACUGAGCUAAAUCCCCAGCCCCGUCAGAUUUCUUUAAUGAGCAGACAUUUUUCCUCUUUCUUGAACAAGCUGUAUUUCUCCCCUCCCACGUUUAGCUUUGCUAAAACAUCUAACAUCUGGUAGGUAAAGACUGCACACAACUCUUGUAUGAAGCUUGGUAUGUUUGCAAAUGUGUGUGCCACAGGUCACGUCACAGCAGUCAAGGUGAUUUACAAGUACAUCUCUCCUUUCCAGAACUUUCCUUGUGUUCUUGUUUUGCUUUAAUGGUCAUUAUUUUUGUUUUCAUGUUUCAUUGCUCUGAAACAACUAUUUGGAUAUUUAGAAAACCAGGCAUAAGCUUCUUUUGCAUUCUCCUGCUGGUGGCAAAGGCAUCCUGCAGACCCUUCUUUUGCAUUCUCCUGUUGGUGGCAAAGGCAUCCUGCAGACCCUUCAGGGAGCUUCCAGUUUGUGGGAGAAGCCGCCGGCAAAUAGGGGUUAUGUUGUAUUUGGAGAACUGGGCGGAAAGAGGAACCAGCCCUCUGGUUGCUGAUUUAAGCUCUGGAUGGAAUAGAGUAUCUAUUGUGGAAGUGUAUUGUGCAAAA